UUUUUAGGCCAUACUGCCUUUGCUCUGCCCGAUCCCGUCAGAUCUCGGAAGCUAAGCAGGGAAGGUCCUGGUCGGUACUUGGAUGGGAGACCGAUUGGGACCACCAGGAAGCCUGGGUGA
ensembl:rRNA 5S_rRNA 5S ribosomal RNA